rnacentral:rRNA from 1 species
GAUGAACGCUGGCGGCGUGCCUAAUACAUGCAAGUCGAGCGAACAGAUGAGGAGCUUGCUCCUCUGACGUUAGCGGCGGACGGGUGAGUAACACGUGGAUAACCUACCUAUAAGACUGGGAUAACUUCGGGAAACCGGAGCUAAUACCGGAUAAUAUAUUGAACCGCAUGGUUCAAUAGUGAAAGACGGUUUUGCUGUCACUUAUAGAUGGAUCCGCGCCGCAUUAGCUAGUUGGUAAGGUAACGGCUUACCAAGGCAACGAUGCGUAGCCGACCUGAGAGGGUGAUCGGCCACCCUGGAACUGAGACACGGUCCACACUCCUACGGGAGGCAGCAGUAGGGAAUCUUCCGCAAUGGGCGAAAGCCUGACGGAGCAACGCCGCGUGAGUGAUGAAGGUCUUCGGAUCGUAAAACUCUGUUAUUAGGGAAGAACAAAUGUGUAAGUAACUAUGCACGUCUUGACGGUACCUAAUCAGAAAGCCACGGCUAACUACGUG